rnacentral:rRNA from 1 species
UACGAACUGUGCAAACGUUAUUCGGAUUCACUGGGCUUAAAGGGUGCGUAGGCGGCCAUGUAAGUAGGGUGUGAAAUCCCCCGGCUUAACCGGGGAACUGCGCCCUAAACUGUGUGGCUUGAGUGAGAUAGGGGUGUGUGGAACUUCCGGUGGAGCGGUGAAAUGUGUUGAUAUCGGAAGGAACGCCGGUGGCGAAGGCGGCAUCCUGGACCAACACUGACGCUGAUGAGCGAAAGCCAGGGGAGCAAACGGG